CUCAUAUGUCAAUAUGGGUAGACCCAAUCUGUUGAGUAAGAUAUCUGCCGGGUCACCUGCCACUUUCCGCAUCGCCUCGUACAUUUGUUCCCAGUAUGGUGUUAUGAGUGGACAGGACCAGAUAAUGUGGAGAAGAGUUCCCAUCCCCUCCCCGCACCUCGAACAGAUCCCUGAGGCUUCAGGUAGAUAUUUAUGAAUCUUCUGUGGUGUGUCAUACCACCGAGUAAGUAUUUUAUAGUUAAUUUCCUGGUAUUUGGCACAUCACGAGUUGAGGACCAUGCUCAUGGCCAUUUUGUCCCACUCUGAAG